UGAUUUCUCUGUUUUCAUUUACAUAAAAUAAGAAACCAACAGCCCUUCAUUUUUUCAAGAAAACUACAUUAAUUUAUAAUCAUCUCAUGCCUGACAUUCUUCCAUGGAACAGCGUGUGAGUUUCCUCACAUGCAAGCCAGACUGAAGAGGAAAACGCUUUUGACCAGAGAAAUAGGCGACGCAGCCCAGAAAGGAAGAGGGAAUGAGGCAGCAGAGUUGGGGAUUUUGUUGAAAGGGUGGUUGAACCCCUCUGUUUUUCUGCCUGUGAUUUCUCCAUUUUCAACAGCCCUUUUGUUUUACUCAGAAAUGGGAAUGAUGCAGAUAGAAUGCCAUUACAGCAAUAUAUUUAGGUCCUGUUCAAGUAAGCGAGGUAGCUCAGAAAUGGAGAGUAAAAGAGGCAACAGAGAGUCUGAUUUUUGUUGAAAGGGUGGUUGACCUUCUCUGUUCUUGCCAAUGAUUUCUCCAUAUUUCAACAGCCCUUUAGAUCUUCUGGAAAUGGAAUAUACAGAUACAGAGAGAUGAUAUAUAGUACAUUCUACCCGGUUUUAAUUACUACUUUUUUCCCAAUCCUUUUCAUUCAUUCCAUGGAAACUCUGUUUUUGGUCGUCUGUAAUCUGUAAACUGUUGCUGCUAGCUUAAUCUGUCGGAUCACUAGAUGCCUUGAAACUUGAAAGUGAGGCGAUGAUGAUAUUUCUCGGUUUCUCUUCUUUCUGAGCUACUUAUCUGGGCAAUUGAGAUUAACUGACCCGUAUCUUGGCGGGGCAACCCGGAUUAAUACCGGUUUUGCAGCCAUGGCGGCGAUGGCUUCUCUUUUACCCCUAUCAGGAACACCGAGCUGAGCCUCAAA